UACGUAGGGUGCGAGCGUUAAUCGGAAUUACUGGGCGUAAAGCGUGCGCAGGCGGCGCGUUAAGACAGGUGUGAAAGCCCCGAGCUUAACUUGGGAAUUGCGCUUGUGACUGGCGUGCUGGAGUGUGGCAGAGGGAGGUGGAAUUCCACGUGUAGCAGUGAAAUGCGUAGAGAUCGGGAGGAACAUCAGUUGCGAAGGCGGCUCUCUGGACCAGCACUGACACUGAGGCACGAAAGCGUGGGAAGCAAACAGG
rnacentral:rRNA from 1 species